UACGGGGGGGGCAAGCGCUGUGCGGAAUUACUGGGCGUAAAGGGCUCGUAGGCGGCCAAGUAAGUCGGACGGGAAAUCCCCAGGCUCAACCUGGGAACUGCGUCCGAUACUGGAUGGCUUGAAUUCGGGAGAGGGAUGCAGAAUUCCAGGUGUAGCGGUGAAAUGCGUAGAUAUCUGGAGGAAUACCGGUGGCGAAGGCGGCAUCCUGGACCGACAUUGACGCUGAUGAGCGAAAGCUAGGGGAGCAAACGGG
rnacentral:rRNA from 1 species